rnacentral:rRNA from 1 species
AACGAACGCUGGCGGCAUGCCUAACACAUGCAAGUCGAACGAGACCUUCCGGUCUAUUGGCGCACGUGUGCGUAACGCCUGGGAACCUGCCUUUAGGUUCGGAAUAACUCAGAGAAAUUUGAGCUAAUACCGGAUGAUGUCUUCGGACCAAAGAUUUAUCGCCUUUAGAUGGGCCCGCGUUGGAUUAGCCAGUUGGUGGGGUAAAGGCCUACCAACGCGACGAUCCAUAGGUGGUCUGAGAGGAUGAUCCGCCACACUAGGACUGCGACACGGCCCAGAAUCGUACGGGAGGGAGCAGUGGGGAAUAUUGGAGAAGGGGCGAAAGCCUGAUCAAGCAAUGCCGCGUGAGUGAUGAAGGCCUUAGGGUUGUAAAGCUCUUUUACCCGAGAUGAUAAUGACGGUAUCGGGAGAAUAAGCUCCGGCUAACUCCGUG